rnacentral:rRNA from 1 species
AGCUCCAAUAGCGUAUAUUAAAGUUGUUGCAGUUAAAAAGCUCGUAGUUGGAUUUGUGGAUUUUGCGAGUCGGUCGCACUAAUUGUGUGUACAUGAUUCGUAGGUCCAUCCUUGGGUGGAAUCUGUGUGGCAUUAGGUUGUCGUGCAGGGGAUGCCCAUCGUUUACUGUGAAAAAUUAGAGUGUUCAAAGCAGGCUUAUGCCGUUGAAUAUAUUAGCAUGGAAUAAUAAGAUAGGACCUUGGUACUAUUUUGUUGGUUUGCGCACCGAGGUAAUGAUUAAUAGGGACAGUUGGGGGUAUUCGUAUUCCAUUGUCAGAGGUGAAAUUCUUGGAUUUCUGAAAGACGAACUACUGCGAAAGCAUUUACCAAGGAUGUUUUCA